rnacentral:tRNA from 1 species
GUGGUGUAAGGAAGUUAAUAAACGCACACUUCGCCCUUUCACGGCGGUAACACGAGUUCGAAUCUCGUUGGGGACGCCA